UCCGACCGCAUGACGUCGUCGAUCUCUGCAAAAAGGCGAGGUGGUCGGAGGUUGAGAAACUGAAGGAAAGAACGAGACGAAAGAGGAGAAAGGAGCUAAAAAAGAAAUGGUGGCGGGCUCACGGUCAGCGGGGACCGAGCUCAGACCGACGUUCACCAAGGUAUCCUCGGAAAUAAGGCGAGCCACCGGGGGGAGCCGGCCCUCGGCAACCAACUCCUUCAAGACGGCGACGCCAUCGGAUUCCUC
rnacentral:lncRNA from 1 species